CCCCUGUCCCCCAGGUACCCCGCAGAAGACAUCGGUUGCAGCUGCACCAGGAGCGGAUGUGGGAGCUCCGGGAAAAGCUGCGCCAGGCCCAGAAGCGACUCCGGAAGGUCCAGAGAGAAAAACGUAGCUUAGAGCAGAAGAACCAGCGACUUCAGGAGUCCAGGGAGCAGCUCAAGGAGUCCACAGAGACUCUACAUCAGGAGCUCAGGGAGCGGGAGAGGAGAGAGAGCACCCUGAGCUCCAGAGUACGUACCAGUUUUCAGCAAGUUUCCUGGAGAUCUACAACGAAUCCCUGCGGGAUCUGCUGCUGUGGAGAGGGGAGCGCAGAGCAGACCUCGAAAUCCGACGGAUCAGCCCCGACAGUAACGAGCUCCACGUGCCCAACCUCACCUGGGUGCCAGUCACCGGGGAGGAGGAGGUGGGAAAACGCCGAAUUCCUGGGAUUUCAGGAAGUUUGGGAAUUCUGGGGGGGAAAUUGGAGACUUUUGGGGUGAUUUGUCCCUAUUUUGGGCUGAUUUCUCUCCAUUUUGGGGUGUUUUGGGACGAUUUCUCCCCAUUUGGGGCUGAUUUUGCCACAUUCUGGGGGUUUUAAUCCCUAUUUUGGGAUGUUUUCUCCACAUUUUGGGGUGAUUUCUCUCCAUUUUGGGUUCAGUAGGGCCUGUCACAAUAGGACAGGGGCUGAGGGGGCUAAACUGGGAAAAAACUUCUUUAUCUCAGACCUGCCGUUUACACCCAUGGCAUUCAGCACCAAACCAAACCAUCCCUGUUCUUUGCUGUUAGUUCUUGAGUUUUGCUCCAGGAGUCCCGGGAGCAGCUCCAGAGGGAGCUCAAGGAGUCCCGGGAGCAGCUCCAGAGGCAGCUCAAGGAGUCCCGGGAGCAGCUCCAGAGGGAGCUCAAGGAGUCCCGGGAGCAGCUCCACAGGGAGCUCAGUGAGCGCCGGAUUGAGUCAGACAACGGGACUCAUUUCAAGAACAGCCCAGUAGCCCCUUGGGCACAGGAGCAUGGGAUUGAAUGGGUCUAUCACAUUCCAUAUCUGGCACCUGCUGCAGGAAAAGUAGAAAGGUGUAAUGGACUGUUGAAGACAACCCUAAAGGCACUAGGUGAGGGAACUUACAAAAAUUGGGAUAAGAACUUAGCCAAGGCCACCUGGCUCGUCAACACUAGAGGCUCUGUCAACCGAGCUGGUCCUGCCCAAGCAGAAUCCCUCCACACUGGAGAUGGAGACAGAGUUCCAGCCAUCCAUCUCAAAGGUAUGUUAGGUAAGGCCCUUUGGAUCACUCCUCCCUCAGGCCAAGACAAACCCAGUCGUGGGAUUGGUUUUGCUCAAGGGCCCAGAAAUACCUGGUGGGUUAUGAGGAAGGAUGGAGAGAUCCAAUGUGUCCCUCAAGGAAAUCUAGCCCUGGGGAAAAACUAAUUCUGUGCCCUAAGUUGUGUUUUACAGGAGACCAGACACCAGAUGGAAAAGACCCGAACAAAGCGAUACCAGUAUCCAAGGAUGUCCGAUGAUGAGACAGCCCUAAACCCCCAAAUUUCCCUCAAAAUCCUCCCUGAAUCCAAAAAUUCUCCCCUAAAUCCCCAAAUUCCUCCCUGAAUCCCAAAUUUCCCCUCCCCAGGGGGAGAGGGGAAAUUGGAGACAUGUUAGUAACCAUUUUCUCCCUGGAGGAGAAUUUUGGGGAAUCCAUCAAUUCCCUGUGCUUCGCCAGCAAGGUGGGAGUGGGAUUUGGGGGGAUU